AGCGUACACGGUGGAUGCCCUGGCAGUCAGAGGCGAUGAAGGACGUGCUAAUCUGCGAUAAGCGUCGGUAAGGUGAUAUGAACCGUUAUAACCGGCGAUUUCCGAAUGGGGAAACCCAGUGUGAUUCGUCACACUAUCAUUAACUGAAUCCAUAGGUUAAUGAGGCGAACCGGGGGAACUGAAACAUCUAAGUACCCCGAGGAAAAGAAAUCAACCGAGAUUCCCCCAGUAGCGGCGAGCGAACGGGGAGCAGCCCAGAGCCUGAAUCAGUGUGUGUGUUAGUGGAAGCGUCUGGAAAGGCGCGCGAUACAGGGUGACAGCCCCGUACACAAAAAUGCACAUACUGUGAGCUCGAUGAGUAGGGCGGGACACGUGGUAUCCUGUCUGAAUAUGGGGGGACCAUCCUCCAAGGCUAAAUACUCCUGACUGACCGAUAGUGAACCAGUACCGUGAGGGAAAGGCGAAAAGAACCCCGGCGAGGGGAGUGAAAAAGAACCUGAAACCGUGUACGUACAAGCAGUGGGAGCACGCUUAGGCGUGUGACUGCGUACCUUUUGUAUAAUGGGUCAGCGACUUAUAUUCUGUAGCAAGGUUAACCGAAUAGGGGAGCCGAAGGGAAACCGAGUCUUAACUGGGCGUUAAGUUGCAGGGUAUAGACCCGAAACCCGGUGAUCUAGCCAUGGGCAGGUUGAAGGUUGGGUAACACUAACUGGAGGACCGAACCGACUAAUGUUGAAAAAUUAGCGGAUGACUUGUGGCUGGGGGUGAAAGGCCAAUCAAACCGGGAGAUAGCUGGUUCUCCCCGAAAGCUAUUUAGGUAGCGCCUCGUGAAUUCAUCUCCGGGGGUAGAGCACUGUUUCGGCAAGGGGGUCAUCCCGACUUACCAACCCGAUGCAAACUGCGAAUACCGGAGAAUGUUAUCACGGGAGACACACGGCGGGUGCUAACGUCCGUCGUGAAGAGGGAAACAACCCAGACCGCCAGCUAAGGUCCCAAAGUCAUGGUUAAGUGGGAAACGAUGUGGGAAGGCCCAGACAGCCAGGAUGUUGGCUUAGAAGCAGCCAUCAUUUAAAGAAAGCGUAAUAGCUCACUGGUCGAGUCGGCCUGCGCGGAAGAUGUAACGGGGCUAAACCAUGCACCGAAGCUGCGGCAGCGACGCUUAUGCGUUGUUGGGUAGGGGAGCGUUCUGUAAGCCUGUGAAGGUGUGCUGUGAGGCAUGCUGGAGGUAUCAGAAGUGCGAAUGCUGACAUAAGUAACGAUAAAGCGGGUGAAAAGCCCGCUCGCCGGAAGACCAAGGGUUCCUGUCCAACGUUAAUCGGGGCAGGGUGAGUCGACCCCUAAGGCGAGGCCGAAAGGCGUAGUCGAUGGGAAACAGGUUAAUAUUCCUGUACUUGGUGUUACUGCGAAGGGGGGACGGAGAAGGCUAUGUUGGCCGGGCGACGGUUGUCCCGGUUUAAGCGUGUAGGCUGGUUUUCCAGGCAAAUCCGGAAAAUCAAGGCUGAGGCGUGAUGACGAGGCACUACGGUGCUGAAGCAACAAAUGCCCUGCUUCCAGGAAAAGCCUCUAAGCAUCAGGUAACAUCAAAUCGUACCCCAAACCGACACAGGUGGUCAGGUAGAGAAUACCAAGGCGCUUGAGAGAACUCGGGUGAAGGAACUAGGCAAAAUGGUGCCGUAACUUCGGGAGAAGGCACGCUGAUAUGUAGGUGAAGCGACUUGCUCGUGGAGCUGAAAUCAGUCGAAGAUACCAGCUGGCUGCAACUGUUUAUUAAAAACACAGCACUGUGCAAACACGAAAGUGGACGUAUACGGUGUGACGCCUGCCCGGUGCCGGAAGGUUAAUUGAUGGGGUCAGCGCAAGCGAAGCUCUUGAUCGAAGCCCCGGUAAACGGCGGCCGUAACUAUAACGGUCCUAAGGUAGCGAAAUUCCUUGUCGGGUAAGUUCCGACCUGCACGAAUGGCGUAAUGAUGGCCAGGCUGUCUCCACCCGAGACUCAGUGAAAUUGAACUCGCUGUGAAGAUGCAGUGUACCCGCGGCAAGACGGAAAGACCCCGUGAACCUUUACUAUAGCUUGACACUGAACAUUGAGCCUUGAUGUGUAGGAUAGGUGGGAGGCUUAGAAGUGUGGACGCCAGUCUGCAUGGAGCCGACCUUGAAAUACCACCCUUUAAUGUUUGAUGUUCUAACGUUGACCCGUAAUCCGGGUUGCGGACAGUGUCUGGUGGGUAGUUUGACUGGGGCGGUCUCCUCCUAAAGAGUAACGGAGGAGCACGAAGGUUGGCUAAUCCUGGUCGGACAUCAGGAGGUUAGUGCAAUGGCAUAAGCCAGCUUGACUGCGAGCGUGACGGCGCGAGCAGGUGCGAAAGCAGGUCAUAGUGAUCCGGUGGUUCUGAAUGGAAGGGCCAUCGCUCAACGGAUAAAAGGUACUCCGGGGAUAACAGGCUGAUACCGCCCAAGAGUUCAUAUCGACGGCGGUGUUUGGCACCUCGAUGUCGGCUCAUCACAUCCUGGGGCUGAAGUAGGUCCCAAGGGUAUGGCUGUUCGCCAUUUAAAGUGGUACGCGAGCUGGGUUUAGAACGUCGUGAGACAGUUCGGUCCCUAUCUGCCGUGGGCGCUGGAGAACUGAGGGGGGCUGCUCCUAGUACGAGAGGACCGGAGUGGACGCAUCACUGGUGUUCGGGUUGUCAUGCCAAUGGCACUGCCCGGUAGCUAAAUGCGGAAGAGAUAAGUGCUGAAAGCAUCUAAGCACGAAACUUGCCCCGAGAUGAGUUCU
rnacentral:rRNA from 1 species